rnacentral:tRNA from 1 species
AUGAAUAUAAUUUUAUAUUAGUUAAAAUUUUAUGUUUAAAUUAGUUUUUAUUUUCAAAAUUUUUAAAAUUAAUAUUUAAGUAGAUUUUAUAAAUAAAUAUAUUUUUAAAAAUUUAUAUAUAUAAUAGUUUAAAAAUUAAAUUUUAAAAUAUAUAAAAUUACAUUAAAAAUAUUAACAAAUAAAAAGCAUAAUAAAUGGUUUGCUAUUAUUUUAGUCAUA